GAUGAAGAACGCAGCGAAAUGCGAUAAGUAAUGUGAAUUGCAGAAUUCAGUGAAUCAUCGAAUCUUUGAACGCACAUUGCGCCCGCCAGUAUUCUGGCGGGCAUGCCUGUUCGAGCGUCAUUACAACCCUCAGGCCCCCGGGCCUGGCGUUGGGGAUCGGCGGAAGCCCCCUGUGGGCACACGCCGUCCCUCAAAUACAGUGGCGGUCCCGCCGCAGCUUCCAUUGCGUAGUAGCUAACACCUCGCAACUGGAGAGCGGCGCGGCCAUGCCGUAAAACACCCAACUUCUGAAUGUUGACCUCGAAUCAGGUAGGAAUACCCGCUGAACUUAAGCAUAUCAAUAAGCGGAGGAA
rnacentral:misc_RNA from 1 species